rnacentral:rRNA from 1 species
UACCUGUGCCUCUAUUUUUAUUCUGUCGGGGUGAUGGGGUCGGCUUGGGGGUGAGGGGGUAGAGGAGCACGGGUGGGGUGGAGGAGGGUGGAAGAGGGGGUUUAGGAGACCGUUGCAGCCGCGCGUUGCCGCGACGGGAGGACGCGGGUGAGACGGGUGGAGGUCCCCUGGAGCGGAACACUACCUAGGCCGGGACGGCGCGGGGAGGAGGGAGCACGACCUAGGCGGCGGUGGGCUACCUAGGGCAGCCGGGAGCUGGUAGGGCGGCGGCCUCGUAGUGGUACGGCGCCCCCCACGCGCCGCCGUGCUGGUGACAGAUGGCCACCACUGGGCAGGGACUUGGGGAGAACGGGGGGACGUCAGUGGUGACAGAUGGUAGAAGAAGGGCCUUGGUGGCGCGACACCGUGGUGGUGGAGGGGCGCGGCGGCGUGGUCGAGGGAGGGACGCGGCGGCGUGGGAGAGGUUGGUGGAGAGGGAGGAGCCUAGGCCAGCAUCGGGUGCUGCUCGGGGGGAGAGGGUGGGGUUCCGUAGUUGGCCGAGGUAGGGUGAGUGGGAGGGGAGAAGAGGAGACGGAGCCAGUGUGUACCUUCCCACUCCCCCCGCCGAGCCGUCCGAGGGACCGACUAAGACGGGUACCCGUACGUCGAGACGGGUGCGCUCGCACGUUGAGCUGGUUGCCCCGGAACGUCAAGCCGGGUGCCGUGGCUGCCGAAGGCAGCUUGAGAGCGAACCUGCCGCUGCGCUGUACGUCAAGCCGCCGGUAUACCAACGCCACGUCACGCGGUAACACCCGUCAAGACACCCGCACACGCGCCGGAGGGGGAUCGGCAGCACGCGUUGACGAUAGGAAGCGCCCGGGCCCGCGUGGCAGCGUGGGGAAAGAGAAGAAAGUGGCACUCUAAGUACCGCGACCGCGGCGCGGAAGAGGACGACGAGGUAGAUACCACUCCUGCCCGAGACGGCGCGGUCCUUUGUUUUCGACGUCACGCCGAUGGUUUGCCAACUUCAAGUCGUCAUUAAAACAACGAAAAACCUAGAACGAACCCGCGUUAUGACGUGAAGAAGACCCAGACGUUAGGUGGCUGCUCUGUUGAGUACUGAACCAAACGAUACAUUUUUCUGUUCCUUUUCUUCGUUACGUCAUGUGAUCGUAGCUCUCACGCUUCCUAACCGGCCACGACGGCCGACCGCAGUUCAAGCUGGGGUGCCUAGUCCUCGACUAGCUCGUGGAACUCCGGUUUCACUCACGACCGUCGCGCUCUAAAGUAAGAGAGUAGCUAAACAAGUAUGGUUGGUAGCUGUUGCUCGUGCUGUAUACGAUGUGGGUUGGACUCUUUGAAGGUCCAUUCUGUGGCUGGACCACU